rnacentral:misc_RNA from 1 species
UUGAGGAAAUUACAGAAGAAAAUUUUUGUUAGGGAAUCGAAAUUCUUACAAAGCAUUUCCAAAUAUCAGAAAGCUAAUAUUGAGCAACAAAAUUAGUAUCAAUAUUAAUCAAGAUCCAAUACUUGUUCUUACUUCUUACAAAGAAAUUUUAGUUUGGAAAAAGAGUUCAUUUCAAUACUUAUAAAGAAAAAAGCAUUCAACCAGCCAUUGAAUUCAAAUCACCACCAUUGUCCUUGGAAGAACAGGCACCAUCAGAUUUGUGAUUGUGAUGAUCAUGAUCAUGAUCAUUGUCAUCAUCGCUGCAGUCCUCGUCAAAGGGCUUGUCCUUGUGGAAGAUGCAACACUUUUUGGAGCUUUUCUUCUUCAUGAACUCAUUGUCGACAGUGCCCUCUUUCCAAGUAACCUUCUUCUUCUUCCGAUUUACUCCCUCCUUAGCCUUACUUCCUCCUCCCACACCCCCAUCCGAACAGACAUUUAGUCGCAAAACUAGGGUUUGUGGUUGCUGUUGUUGGGCAGGGUUUUCCAUGGUGACUGUGGUGGUGACAGUGGAAGAAGACAUUGAUGUUGGUCGCAUCAUGGCAGUGUGGGUUGUGGUGGUGCUCGUAGGUUGAACCAUCAUUCAACUGAGAAAUUUUGCAAAGCCUCAAAAGCAGAAAUAAUAGGAGAGAUAUGGCACAAAACAAGUACUGAUAAACAAUACCUAACAAAUAGGAGAGCACAAUGAACACCAAGCGAAUUUGAAAGAACUAAUAGUCUAUAAUCACAUUAAAGUACCCCGUUCAAUUCAGCAUCAGCAACUUUUAAAUCAUCACCAAAAUCCAGACAAAAUUUAUCACCGACCCAUUCAUUUAACACUAGGGUUGAAUAGAAAGGCCGCUAAUGAAAGACAGUGUUCUUUCUUUAAAAAAAAAAAAAAUUCUUUAAUUCAUUAAGCCGAAAAAAAAUAAAAGCAUCCAUUACCAUUACUUAAAAAAAGAAAAAAGAAAAGACAGCCGCAAACAACUAUAAGCCUAAAGACUCACCCGUGCCCAGCUAGACAAACAAACGAAUACCUUGUGGGCAGGAUAACAACUUCUCUUUCCUAGAUAUUCCCAACUUAUAGAACACAAUUCUUGUUCACUACAAAAGAAACAGAUCAUAGGCCCCGUGCCAGCAAAUCAUAAGAAAACAGAAUUCACACAAUCAGAAGUCUCCCCUAUAAUGUUAGAAAAUUUAUAAAAUAAGACCCAAAUCAAAAGCAUUUAACCAUCGAUUUAUAACUUAGGCCACUGAUAAGCGUAGAUAGAGAGAGAAGGAGGAAAAGUGUGAAUAACCUGGUUGUGAAUUGCAAUGAUGAAUGCAGCAAACAGAAGAAAGCAAAAACCCGUAAGAAAUUGGUAUCUGUGGCGAGAAAGGAAGCAAACCCAGUCUUUAUUUUUUUGCAGAUGUGAGAAACAACUAAUUCACAGGUAAUCUAUUCUAUUUUUUCAAUAUUAAAUUGCAAUAUUUGUUUCAACACUCACUAUGAAUGAAGAUCAUACGCAAAGUGAUCAAUGGAUUCUCUAAAUAAGAAUCGAAGAAAAAAAAAAUUUAAGCCCUAAACAAAAGCGGCGAAAAAAUCCCAAAAAAUUGCACAAGCCAAUGCAACCAUAAUCUUUUACACAUCCUCUUCUCUCACUAUAUAGCAAGAAGCAAAAGCCAAUUUUACAAUUUUUCUACAGAUUCAUUCUCUCCCGCGAAAAAUACAGAAAAAAAAAAAAGAAGAAAGAAACCAACAGGUAAAAAAGAUUAAGGCAAUUGCACAAAAGGAAAAAAAGCAUAAUCAAUGAACCAUUCAACUCAAAACCGAAACCCAUAAAAUUUUGAGAUGGGCGAAAAGGAGGACGGAGAUGGGUGGGGUUAAGUUUACCCACAGAAUUAGGGUGAGAUUGAUGGAGAAUAGAAUGUUAACAAAUUUGAGAUGGGUCCAUGCAUUUGCAAGAUAGACAAUUGAGCUUUACCUUAGAUAAAAGUCCGCUGCUCCAAAAAUGAAGACGAAUUGCAGAGACGCUUUGUCGAAGAGAGAGACGGAAAGAAAAUUUCGUCGGAAG